CCCAAAGAGUUCAUCACAAUUCUAAAGCGAAUAUGUGUGCGUUAAUAAUAGGUUCAUGUGAAAGGGAUCAAACAAAUGCACAGAUAAUUAUCAGCUCUAAGGAGGGAGGAAGUUUCUUUCAGCUCACGAUUUUGGAUUUAUGCUUUACAACUUUUCUUUUUGUGCUCAAUCCUUCAGCUUUCGUCAUAUGCAGCCACUGCACACAGAUGUUUGAACACGAUCUACACUCACUGCUCACCACCGGACAGACGCACAUAGUUAAGAACUAGUUGAAUAAGUGAAACCAUGUUGAUCUGAGACCCAACGGCUUUGUAGUCUUUGCUCUGAAUGUCGGCUAUGUGUGUCGGACUGCAGUUUGCCAGCUGUAAAUACAUG
ensembl:lncRNA